rnacentral:rRNA from 1 species
CCCGCACAAGCGGUGGAGCAUGUGGUUUAAUUCGAUGCAACGCGAAGAACCUUACCUACUCUUGACAUCCUGCGAACUUGUGAGAGAUCACUUGGUGCCUUCGGGAGCGCAGAGACAGGUGCUGCAUGGCUGUCGUCAGCUCGUGUUGUGAAAUGUUGGGUUAAGUCCCGUAACGAGCGCAACCCUUGUCCUUAUUUGCCAGCGGGUAAUGCCGGGAACUCUAAGGAGACUGCCGGUGACAAACCGGAGGAAGGUGGGGACGACGUCAAGUCAUCAUGGCCCUUACGAGUAGGGCUACACACGUGCUACAAUGGCCGGUACAAAGGGUUGCGAGCUCGCGAGAGUCAGCUAAUCCCGAAAAGCCGGUCUCAGUCCGGAUCGGAGUUUGCAACUCGACUCCGUGAAGUCGGAAUCGCUAGUAAUCGUGAAUCAGAAUGUCACGGUGAAUACGUUCCCGGGCCUUGUACACACCGCCCGU